GACGAACGCUGGCGGCGUGCUUAACACAUGCAAGUCGAACGGAAAGGCCCUGCUUUUGUGGGUUGCUCGAGUGGCGAACGGGUGAGUAACACGUGAGUAACCUGCCCUUGACUUUGGGAUAACUUCAGGAAACUGGGGCUAAUACCGGAUAGGAGCUCCUGCUGCAUGGUGGGGGUUGGAAAGUUUCGGCGGUUGGGGAUGGACGCGCGGCUUAUCAGCUUGUUGGUGGGGUAGUGGCUUACCAAGGCUUUGACGGGUAGGCGGCAUGAGAGGGUUAACGGGCACAUGGGGACUGAGAUACGGACCAGACUGGUACGGGAGGCAGCAGUGGGGAAUAUUGCACAAUGGGCGGAAGCCUGAGGCAGCAACGCCGCGUGCGGGAUGACGGCCUUCGGGUUGUAAACCGCUUUCGCCUGUGACGAAGCGUGAGUGACGGUAAUGGGUAAAGAAGCACCGGCUAACUACGUG
rnacentral:rRNA from 1 species